UAAGAGCGAGGCUUGCCCGCGAAGGCAUCUUGCCUGACACACCGCGGUGCGUCGAUUCGCGGGCAAGCCUCGCGCCUA
rnacentral:antisense_RNA from 2 species